rfam:Dipodomys ordii contig_22845, whole genome shotgun sequence.
ACCACUGAGCCACCUUCCCAACCCUCACAUUAAUUUUUUUAAAAAAGUAAAGUUAUUGGGGCUGGGAAGGUGGCUCAGUGGU